rnacentral:rRNA from 1 species
UACGUAGGGUGCAAGCGUUGUCCGGAUUUAUUGGGCGUAAAGAGCUCGUAGGCGGUCUGUCGCGUCGGAUGUGAAAACCCAAUGGCUUAACCUUGGGCCUGCAUUCGAUACGGGCAGACUAGAGUGUGGUAGGGGAAACUGGAACUCCUGGUGUAGCGGUGGAAUGCGCAGAUAUCAGGAAGAACACCGAUGGCGAAGGCAGGUUUCUGGGCCAUAACUGACGCUGAGGAGCGAAAGCGUGGGGAGCGAACAGGAUUAGAUACCCUGGUAGUCCACGCCGUAAACGGUGGGCGCUAGGUGUGGGGAACAUUUUCACGUUCUCCGUGCCGUAGCUAACGCAUUAAGCGCCCCGCCUGGGGAGUACGGCCGCAAGGCUAAA